rnacentral:misc_RNA from 1 species
GUUUUACAUUUUUAAUCAAUAUAUCUAAACAUUCACUUGCUUGUUAAAAAUCCAACUAAAUUUUAUCAAACGUGACUCUAAUUUCUUGGUUCGAUCUUCCAACUUUCUAAUCUUACGUGGAAGUCCACACACAAAAUCUUGUGCACGCCUCGCCUCCGUUGUCAAGCCUUGAAGCUUUUCCAAUUCCCAUCUUAUUAUAAAAAAUUCUAAUAUUUCAGCAUAAUCACGAGAUGUGUAAACACCCUGAUUUUGGGAAAUGGUAGAAAAGUACU